ACGGUCUCUGGUCUCCCCUCCACUUCAGACCUGGAGUGAAUCAGCUCCCAGAUAUAGCUGCUCUGCGUACCUGUUCCUAGGAGAGCCGGGAAAUAAAUGAGAGGCCUUUAAUCAUGCGAGCCGAGAGCGGGAUGAGCCAGCGGAACUUGAAGGGGUCCGAAUCUCCGUGAGAGAGCGCCGAACGAGGGUUGGCCUGGCAUUACAAGAAAAAACAAAAAUGGGGACCUUUUGGACCUUGAUGUGGUUGGCACAGAAGCCGCUGUAGAGCUUGAAGUGAUCGGCGUAGUAGAGGAAUGAACCCCCGAGGGAAAACAGCAGCUUCUGUGAAGAGAUGGG